rnacentral:rRNA from 1 species
GACGAACCACACAAACGUUAUUCGGAAUUACUGGGCUUAAAGGGUGCGUAGGCGGCGCGGAAAGUAGGGUGUGAAAUCCCUCGGCUCAACCGAGGAAUUGCGCCCUAAACUACCGUGCUCGAGGGAGAUAGAGGUGAGCGGAACUUAGGGUGGAGCGGUGAAAUGCGUUGAUAUCCUAAGGAACACCGGUGGCGAAAGCGGCUCACUGGACAGGUACUGACGCUGAGACGCGGAAAGCGGUGGGUAGCAAACGAGGAAUU